rnacentral:rRNA from 1 species
GAUGAACGCUGACAGAAUGCUUAACACAUGCAAGUCUACUUGAUUCUACUUCGGUAGUUGAUGGUGGCGGACGGGUGAGUAACGCGUAAAGAAUCUGCCCUUUAGUUUGGGAUAACCUUUGGAAACGAAGGCUAAUACCGGAUAUCAUGGAGACGUCGCAUGGCGACUCCAUGAAAGCUAUAUGCGCUAGAGGAGGACUUUGCGUCCCAUUAGUUAGUUGGUGAGGUAAUGGCUCACCAAGACCGCGAUGGGUAGCCGGCCUGAGAGGGUGAUCGGCCACAAGGGAACUGAGACACGGUCCUUACUCCUACGGGAGGCAGCAGUGGGGAAUAUUGGACAAUGGGCCACAAGCCUGAUCCAGCAAUUCUGUGUGCACGAUGAAGGUCUUCGGAUUGUAAAGUGCUUUCAGUAGGGAAGAAAAAAUGACGGUACCUACAGAAGAAGCGACGGCUAAAUAUGUGCCAGCCGCCGCAGUAAAAC